GACGAACGCUGGCUGCGUGCUUAACACAUGCAAGUCGAACGGAAAGGCCCUGCUUUUUUGGUUUUCUCGAUUGCCGAUCGCGUGAGUAUCACUUGAGUAUCCUGCCCUUGACUUUGGGAUAACUUCAGGAAACUGGGGCUAAUACCGGAUAGGAACUCCUUCUUCAUGUUGGUUGUUGGAAAGUUUCGGAGGUUGGGGAUUGACUCGCGGCUUAUCAGCUUGUUGGUUGGGUAGUGGCUUACCAAGGCUUUGACGGGUAGCCGGCCUGAGAGGUGUACCGGCAAAAUGGCGAAUGAGAUACGGGACAGAGUAGUACGGGAGGCAGCAGAGGGGAAGAUUGCACAAUGGGCGGAAGCAUGAUGCAGCAACGCGGCGUGAGGGAUGACGGACUUCGGGUUGGAAACCGCUUUCGCCUGUGACGAAGAGUGAGUGAAGGUAAUGGAUAAAGAAGCACCGGCUAACUACGUG
rnacentral:rRNA from 1 species